GGAUUAGAUACCCUGGUAGUCCACGCCGUAAACGAUGUCUACUUGAAGGUUGUGAUCUUGAAUCGUGGCUUUCGGAGCUAACGCGUUAAGUAGACCGCCUGGGGAGUACGGUCGCAAGAUUAAAACUCAAAUGAAUUGACGGGGGCCCGCACAAGCGGUGGAGCAUGUGGUUUAAUUCGAUGCAACGCGAAGAACCUUACCUACUCUUGACAUCCAGAGAACCUUUUAGAGAUAGAAGGGUGCCUUCGGGAACUCUGAGACAGGUGCUGCAUGGCUGUCGUCAGCUCGUGCCG
rnacentral:rRNA from 1 species